AAUUGCGCCAUGCUCGUGACCCUUAUUUACACUUCGGAUAGUGUCUUGAACGCACGAACAAAACGCCGCUAUUUGGAUAUAACGAGGGAUUAUUUUGGACCAAACCAACAUUUGUUAUUGAAGUAGCAGUCCUGGGAGUGCAUUCUGACGAAGACAACAAAGUGGUUUGCCUCCGACUGACUGAGAGCUCCAGCAGCAUUACCCCCUCAUAGACAACAUUUCAUCAUCUCACCACCAUCCACACACGCCUGGUCGUUUAUAACUAGUCAUUUAUUAAAGAAGCAAACGGAUGUGAGGAGGAGGGAGAGGGAAGAAGCUGUUUCCUCCUGACUGUAAAAGGAGUGAAAGGAGCUGUAUUGUUAGCCAGCGUGUCUUACAGCGGGGAUUAGUUCUGGACUGCUGUUGUGUUCUCUUUGCCAUGACCGUCCGGCUCCCCAGAAUGGAGCCGCUCCUACAGCCAGUUUCACUUUCAGCCCAUUCUCCAUCAGGAAACUGGCAACCGCGAGACACCCACUCACAAAAACACUGACACACAGGCAGCAGGGCUUUCUGCCGAUCCUGUACACACGUAUACACACACACACACUCCUGGCGAGUGGAGCCUCAGAUGGCAGAGGAACAACAGGAGGAUUAAAACUACUAUUCACCUCAAACACGCUGACAGGCAGCUAGGGGAUUAAUAUUGUUUGGGGGGGUGUGUGUGUGUGUGUGUGUGUGUGUGUGUGUGUGUGUGUGUGUGUGUGUGUGUGUGUGUGUGUGUGUGUGUGUGUGGACGUGUUUAACUAUUCUUGUGGGGACCAAAAGUUCCCACAAGAAUAGUAAACUAACAAAUAUUUGACCUAGUGGGGACAUUUUGUUAGUCCCCAAUAUUUCUAGCGGGUUUAGGGUUAAGGUUAGAAUUAGUGUUAGGGUUAGAAUUGCGUUAAGGGUUAGGAGUUAGGGUUCGUUUUAGGGUUAGGGUGUUAUGGUUAGGGUUAAGGUUAGGUUUUUGGGUUAGUGUUAGGGUAAGAGUGCAGGUUAGGUUUAGGGUUAGGGGUUAGGGAAAAUAGGAUUUUGAAUGGGACUGAAUUGUGUGUCCCACAAGGUUAGCUAUACAAGACCGCGUGUGUGUGUUGGUGGGGAAAAGGGCAGGGAGAUGAAAGGAGUGCUGCUUUCAAUUUCCUCUCAUGCAGUGAACACAAGACCACACAAUCACACGCAUGCAGGCACACACACACACACACACACACACACACACACACACAUUCCUUUGCAGAAUGCCCUCUCAACCUCUAUAUGUAAAGUCUCUCUGCAG
rnacentral:lncRNA from 1 species